rnacentral:misc_RNA from 1 species
AAACCUUCAAGCUCAGCUUGGUGUUGGGUGCUAGUCCUCCCCCGUGGUGGACUCACCUCAAAUACAUGGCGGCCGGUAUGUUGGCUUCGAGCGCAGUACAACGCGCCUGGCGUCUUGACGUACUGGUCCUCCAUGAGACUCUUCUCA